UUAUGAUUAAGCAUGGUAUUUGGACAUGUAAACAGACAGAAACUCAAUUGAGUUUUGAUUUAAAAGGCCAACCAAUUGUCAAACUAAUUGGCGCCGUUUACGGUUUCGAUCCUC